GAGAACUGUGAGAAUGUGACCUCGCUGGGGUUUCCAGUUUCCCAACCCUCUGUGAUCUUCCAGCUGGAAGGAGGGGAAGAGCCCUGGGUCCUGGAUCCCCCUGGUUCAGUGGAAAGCGAGAUCCUGGGAAGUCCCUGCACAGGUGAUGGGGUGGUGAGGGAGAGCAAGGAGCAGAAUCCUCACCAG